UUUUACAAUGGAGAGUUUGAUCCUGGCUCAGGAUGAACGCUAGCUACAGGCUUAACACAUGCAAGUCGAGGGGAAACGAUAUUGGAAGCUUGCUUCCGAUAGACGUCGACCGGCGCACGGGUGAGUAACGCGUAUCCAACCUGCCCAUCACUUGGGGAUAACCUUGCGAAAGUAAGACUAAUACCCAAUGACGUCCAUAGAAGACAUCUGAAGUGGAUUAAAGAUUUAUCGGUGAUGGAUGGGGAUGCGUCUGAUUAGCUUGUUGGCGGGGUAACGGCCCACCAAGGCUACGAUCAGUAGGGGUUCUGAGAGGAAGGUCCCCCA
rnacentral:rRNA from 1 species